rnacentral:rRNA from 1 species
CCUACGGGAGGCAGCAGUGGGGAAUAUUGGACAAUGGGCGAAAGCCUGAUCCAGCAAUGCCGCGUGAGUGAAGAAGGCCUUCGGGUUGUAAAGCUCUUUUACCCGGGAAGAUAAUGACUGUACCGGGAGAAUAAGCCCCGGCUAACUCCGUGCCAGCAGCCGCGGUAAUACGGAGGGGGCUAGCGUUGCUCGGAAUUACUGGGCGUAAAGCGUACGUAGGCGGCUUUUUAAGUCAGAGGUGAAAUCCCGGUGCUCAACACCGGAACUGCCUUUGAGACUGGAUCGCUUGAUCACGGGAGAGGUUAGUGGAAUUCCGAGUGUAGAGGUGAAAUUCGUAGAUAUUCGGAAGAACACCAGUGGCGAAGGCGGCUAACUGGACCGUUGAUGACGCUGAGGUACGAAAGCGUGGGGAGCAAACAGGAUUAGAUACCCUGGUAGUCCACGCCGUAAACGAUGAGAACUAGCUGUCGGGGCUCUUAGAGCUUCGGUGGCGCAGCUACGACAUUAAGUUACUUCCGUCCGUCGGGUAGGUACGGUCCGGCCGAACGGUUAAAACGUUAAACGGUAAAGUUAGUACGGCGUGAGACGUCGCCGAACGGACGACCGACGAGGGGAGGUAGG